GGGUACAUAGUGAUUUCAGGUCGAAGGGUGGAAUACACCACUUAUCACUAUGAGAAUAUCUUAUGACAUUUCAUAACACACUAUGUAGUAUUCUAACGGUGGGUCAAUCCAAUACAAAUGUUACCAUUAACAUUUAUAUCUAUGUGAAGACUUGAUAACUCUUUAUCUAUGAUCCGUGAGAUGUGAUCAUCAGUCUACCAACAUAAUAGCCUCU
rnacentral:lncRNA from 1 species